rnacentral:rRNA from 1 species
AGUGAACGCUGGCGGCAGGCCUAAUACAUGCAAGUCGAACGGCAGCACAGCAGAGCUUGCUCUGUGGGUGGCGAGUGGCGGACGGGUGAGGAAUACAUGGGAAUCUGCCCAGUCGUGGGGGAUAACGUAUGGAAACGUACGCUAAUACCGCAUGCGCCCUACGGGGGAAAGCCGGGGACCGCAAGGCCUGGCGCGAUUGGAUGAGCCCAUGUUCGAUUAGCUAGUUGGCGGGGUAAAGGCCCACCAAGGCGACGAUCGAUAGCUGGUCUGAGAGGAUGAUCAGCCACACUGGAACUGAGACACGGUCCAGACUCCUACGGGAGGCAGCAGUAGGGAAUAUUGGACAAUGGGGGCAACCCUGAUCCAGCCAUGCCGCGUGAGUGAAGAAGGCCCUCGGGUUGUAAAGCUCUUUUGUCCGGAAAGAAAAGCUCUGGUUAAUACCUGGGCCCAUGACGGUACCGUAAGAAUAAGCACCGGCUAACUACGU